rnacentral:rRNA from 1 species
GACGAACGCUGGCGGCGUGCUUAACACAUGCAAGUCGAACGGAAAGGCCCUGCUUGCAGGGUACUCGAGUGGCGAACGGGUGAGUAACACGUGGGUGAUCUGCCCUGCACUUCGGGAUAAGCUUGGUAAACUGGGUCUAAUACCGGAUAGGAGCCAUCUUUAGUGUGGUGGUUGGAAAGUUUUUUCGGUGUAGGAUGAGCUCGCGGCCUAUCAGCUUGUUGGUGGGGUAAUGGCCUACCAAGGCGGCGACGGGUAGCCGGCCUGAGAGGGUGUACGGCCACAUUGGGACUGAGAUACGGCCCAGACUCCUACGGGAGGCAGCAGUGGGGAAUAUUGCACAAUGGGCGCAAGCCUGAUGCAGCGACGCCGCGUGGGGGAUGAAGGCCUUCGGGUUGUAAACUCCUUUCGCUAGGGACGAAGCUUUUUUGUGACGGUACCUAGAUAAGAAGCACCGGCUAACUACGUG